AGAAAAAAUGUGAUCUCUUCAACUGAAGAAACGAAGAGCAGACUUGAACGAAAACGACGACCAGCAAGCCUCAUGGCUUCCGUCCUCGUCUCUCCUCCAUGUGCGACGAGUUUCAGAUGACCGUCCAUUGAAUUCGGCGGACGCUACUGCUAUCACGUCAUCCUCAUUUUCUCGUCUGUCCUCUCUUUCUGUUUCACUGUUACAUCGCCGGAAACGACGAGAUCCAGCUUUGACUAUUUCUAACGUUUUUCUGCUCGUGCGUUCAUUUGGUUAGCUCAGCUGGAUUCCGUCACCGGUGAGUUUUCAGUUUGCAACCGGUGGAGUUGUGUCUGAGUUGAGAUAUUGCCAUUCCAGUUUCGUCUGCCGGGGAUGGAUACGUCGAGGUUACGAUCAGUAGUUCAUUUGUUUAGAUUUGCUGUUCUUGAGAUUUUGCUUCACUGUUCAUGGCGAAAAACACGCAGCACUAAAGGUUCAUUUUCUUUUCCGAUGUUGUUCUUCUUGCUAAUGUGUUGGAUCGUUUCAUAUUUGAUUUAGUUUGUAUGAUUUAACCGAUUUUUGUGAUAAUGAUUCUGUUGAAUAUGUGAUUUCACAAUUAAUGGUGGCUUUUAGCUAAUAAAGUUGCUAAUAUAAGCUCAAUGUUUAGUGGUAAUUUGUCAAGUUGAAAUACUGUUUAUUAGCGGUACUGAUCCUGUUAGCUUUCAUUGUUAGACUGAUAAGAUACUAGUUGGUUUUUUGAGUUAUCUAGAAUGUAUUUUUGAAUGAAGAUAGUAGGAUACAAAGUUAGGCGCUACUUUGAGAAUUGGGUUUCAAAAUAAUUGUUUCAAUGUUGAGGAAAAAU
rnacentral:lncRNA from 1 species